UCUGCCGCAAGGAAGACGCCGGAAGUCCCGGCCAGGCACGUCCCGCGCCCCCAGCGCACGGCGCGGAGGCCUCUGGAUAAUGUAGUCUGCCCGCCCAGGCAUGUUCCGCGUCUGCAGCGCCCAGCGCGUACGCCUCUGGAUUUGUCCAGCCCUGACUGCAUCGUUCAGUUGAUAAAAAUGUUAUUUUGAUACACCAAAGUUGUGAUUUUGAUUUCAAUCUGGGCACAUAAAGGGGUCAUAUAAUGAAUGCAUAAACAAGUGGAUAAUAAAUCAAUGUGUCUUUCUA